rnacentral:rRNA from 1 species
UACGUAGGGUGCGAGCGUUAAUCGGAAUUACUGGGCGUAAAGCGUGCGCAGGCGGUUUUGCAAGCCGGAUGUGAAAUCCCCGGGCUUAACCUGGGAAUGGCAUUUGGGACUGCAAGGCUGGAGUGCGGCAGAGGAGACUGGAAUUCCUGGUGUAGCAGUGAAAUGCGUAGAUAUCAGGAGGAACACCGAUGGCGAGGGCAGGUCUCUGGGCUGACACUGACGCUCAUGCACGAAAGCGUGGGGAGCAAACAGG